rnacentral:miRNA from 14 species
ACACAGGACACUCAGAUUUGAAUUUCAGAUAAGCAAUGAAUAUUUUUCAAGUGUAAGUAUAGCCCGUGCAAUAUUUGGGACAUACUUAUACUAAGACAUUAUGUAUUGUUUAUGUGAAAUUCAAAUUUAACUGGGUAUCCGGUA